rnacentral:rRNA from 1 species
CUUCCGAUGGCGACCGGCGCACGGGUGAGUAACACGUAUCCAACCUGCCGAUAACCCGGGGAUAGCCUUUCGAAAGAAAGAUUAAUAUCCGAUAGGAUAUCAAGAUCGCAUGAUCUUGAUAUUAAAGAAUUUCGGUUAUCGAUGGGGAUGCGUUCCAUUAGUUAGUUGGCGGGGUAACGGCCCACCAAGACGACGAUGGAUAGGGGUUCUGAGAGGAAGGUCCCCCACAUUGGAACUGAGACACGGUCCAAACUCCUACGGGAGGCAGCAG